rnacentral:rRNA from 1 species
UGCGUAGGCGGUUUACUAAGUCAGAUGUGAAAGCCCCGGGCUUAACCUGGGAACUGCAUUUGAUACUGGUAGGCUAGAGUAUGAUAGAGGGGGGUAGAAUUCCUGGUGUAGCGGUGAAAUGCGUAGAUAUCAGGAGGAAUACCAGUGGCGAAGGCGGCCCCCUGGAUCAAUACUGACGCUGAGGUACGAAAGCGUGGGAGCAAACA